GAGGAUAUAGUUCAGUGGUGGAGCACAUGCUUAGCAUGCACGGGAUCCAGGUUCAAUCCCCAGUACCUUCA
rnacentral:tRNA from 1 species